rnacentral:rRNA from 1 species
AUUGAACGCUGGCGGCAGGCCUAACACAUGCAAGUCGAGCGAGCGGCGGACGGGUGAGUAAUGUAUGGGGAAUGCCCGAUAGAGGGGGAUAACUACUGGAAACGGUAGCUAAUACCGCAUACUAUCGGAUAACACAUAUGGGAUUAGCUAGUAGGUGAGGUAAUGGCGCACCGAGGCGACGCUCCCUAGCUGGUCUGAGAGGGCGACCAGCCAUACUGGGACUGAGACACGGUCCAGACUCCUACGGAGGCAGCAGUGGGGAAUUUUGGACAAUGGGGGAAACCCUGAUCCAGCCAUCCCGCGUGUAUGAUGAAGGCCUUCGGGUUGUAAAGUACUUUUGGCAGAGAAGCGGUAUCUGCAGAAUAAGCACCGGCUAACUACGUGCCAGCAGCCGCGGUAAUUC